ensembl:lncRNA
CUGAUGUAGGCAGCUUCGCCCUGCCGCUGGGAGAGAGUAAGCGCAUCCCCUUCAAGGUUAAACUGGUUCUCAGCUUCAUCAUGUUCCUCAACAUCCUCAAGGACCUUCUGCCUGGAGGAGGCCAGUGCAGCCCCAUCAUCCGAAAGCACUUCUGUUUCUGUUUGGUCAUCCUGGUGUUGAGCACGUUGCAGUCUAUGGUGCUCACACGCCUGGCUAAGUGUGGCACUCUCUGGCCCUGCAGCCUCUCCAAGUCCAAAGACUCACUGCUUAAAGACACAGACAAUGAAGACGACUCCAAGUUUGAUAUUAAAGCCUCAGAGGAAGAGAAGAAUACAGCCCUCCAGAAGGUGGUGAAGUUUCUCAACAAAAUGGCUGCACAAGACCAGAAAAAUGCUAUACACCAUCGCUUUGCCAACAAAGUGGACUUGAUCUGUUUCUGUAUCUAUCUCACCAUCCUCAUUGUUUACUCAUUCAUCAUUUUAUUUUUCUCCUUUGGUUCUCGAUGUGAGAUCGACCAUUUACAAUUCUGGCA